UGGCUCUGGCAUCGAUGAAGAACGCAGCGAAAUGCGAUAAGUAAUGUGAAUUGCAGAAUUCAGUGAAUCAUCGAAUCUUUGAACGCACAUUGCGCCCACCAGUAUUCUGGUGGGCAUGCCUGUUCGAGCGUCAUUUCGACCAUCAGAAGUCCCCCCCCGGGCCCCCGGUCCCACGCGACCGGAGGGCCCCUUUCCCGACCCCAGAGAUCGGAGGUUGGGGGGGAAGCUGGCGCUGGGGAUCGUCCGCCCCCCGCGGCGGCCGGCCCCGAAAUGAAGUGGCGGUCUCGUCGCGACCUCCCCUGUGCAGUAGCGAUACCUCGCAGCCGGAUAGCGACGCGGCCACGCCGUAAAACAACCCCCUAUACUGUGGUUGACCUCGAAUCAGGUAGGAAUACCCGCUGA
rnacentral:misc_RNA from 1 species